rnacentral:lncRNA from 1 species
UGCAGUUUAACUCUAAAAAUUGUCCUCCUUUUUUUGAUCUAGCCCCUCUCUCCCUGGGAAAGAAACUCUUUCUCGCCCCGCCUAACAUCUCUCAUUCCUUUUCACACCCCUUUAGUGAUGGUGGAUUACUUAUUCCGAUCUACAUCUCCCCAUGCCGCCUCUGCCUUGCCUACAGAUGAUGCCUUGCCCCUCCCCUUUCCUCUCGUCCCUCUCUCCUUUCCUUCCUUUGUUUCCCGUCCUCUCUUUCCCUCCCUCCUUGACUUUUCCUCCUCACCCUUUUCUUUUGUUGUGACUUUGGAAUUUUCUUUUGUUUUGUAGGGAGUGUAUGGUUGGGUGUGGGUGGUUUCAUUGUUCUGCUCCUAUUUUGUCUGGGGAUUGCCUUUGUGUUUCGAUGGCUUGGGUGGUUUCCCCUGUGACCGCCGCAGUUGUUUUAUUGUUUUCAUUAUUGUGUUGCCGGCCGUUUUUUUGCUUUGUUUGAUUGUUUUGCAGAUUUGAGGUUUGAUUCAUGCUGGAAAACUACUUCAGAUUUGUGAUUCACCUUUAUUUGUGAUUUGGUGG